UACGAAGGGGGCUAGCGUUGCUCGGAAUCACUGGGCUUAAAGCGUGUGUAGGCGGAUCGUUAAGUGCCUUGUGAAAUCCCACGGCUUAACUGUGGAACGGCUGGGCAUACUGGCGGUCUUGAGCCAUCUAGGGGCGACUGGAACAAACGGUGGAGCGGUGAAAUGCGUAGAUAUCGGGAGGAAUACCAGUGGCGAAGGCGGCUGCCUGGCCUGUUCUUGACGCUGAGGCGCGAAAGCUGGGGGAGCAAACGGG
rnacentral:rRNA from 1 species